rnacentral:sRNA from 1 species
GGUGCAUCCCUACAAGUCCAUCCUGAGCGAGCUCAAGGCCCUGUGUGCUGACCUUUCCCCAAGGGAGAAGGUGUGGGUCAGUGACAAGGCCAGCUAUGCUGUGAGCGAGACCAUCCCCAAGGACCACCGCUGCUGUAUGCCUUACACCCCCAUCUGCAUCGCCAAAGCUGUGAAGAAUUCAGCUGAGUCAGAAGGCAUGAGGCGGGCUCACAUUAAAGAUGCUGUUGCCCUCUGUGAACUCUUUAACUGGCUGGAGAAAGAGGUUCCCAAAGGUGGUGUGACAGAGAUCUCAGCUGCUGACAAAGCUGAGGAGUUUCGCAGGCAACAGGCAGACUUUGUGGACCUGAGCUUCCCAACAAUUUCCAGUACGGGACCCAACGGCGCCAUCAUUCACUACGCGUAAGGCAUGCGGAGGAGCAUGCUGCCUGGCAUUGCUGCUUCUGCACAGGAGCCUGAGCAGGGGAGA